rnacentral:tRNA from 1 species
GCUUUCGUUGCGUAAUGGUCAGCACACUGAGCCGGUAUUUCAGAGGUCCGCGGUUCGAUCCCCGGCGAAGGCA